UACGUAGGGCGCAAGCGUUAUCCGGAAUUAUUGGGCGUAAAGAGCUUGUAGGCGGUUUGUCGCGUCUGCUGUGAAAAUCCGGGGCUCAACCCCGGACUUGCAGUGGGUACGGGCAGGCUAGAGUGUGGUAGGGGAGACUGGAAUUCCUGGUGUAGCGGUGGAAUGCGCAGAUAUCAGGAGGAACACCGAUGGCGAAGGCAGGUCUCUGGGCCACUACUGACGCUGAGAAGCGAAAGCAUGGGGAGCGAACAGG
rnacentral:rRNA from 1 species